rnacentral:lncRNA from 1 species
CCUCCCAUGCUAUAUAUAGUGCUUGUGCUUAGAUUUCAGAUGUCAUUUCAAAUCGAUCCUGCCCACGAAGUUCCGGGGCAUACCCUGGUGCCGUGCCAAAACAUUCCUGUAAAGAUAGAUGACCAAUCUGCAUGUCAAUUUAAACAUCAAAGAGCAUCUACUAUAUUGCUUAUUGGAAAGCAGUGCAAAGACAUUCCGAGAGCACUGGCAGACUCAUGUAUGCGUGCAAGUAUGUGCAUGAUAACGCGAGCCGAGCUGUUCUGCUCCGAAGGAGCUUUUGCAGAAGUAGAGUUGCCCCUUGCGAAAGCUUU